rnacentral:rRNA from 1 species
AGCAGCCGCGGUAAUUCCAGCUCCAAUAGCGUAUAUUAAAGUUGUUGCAGUUAAAAAGCUCGUAGUUGAAUUUCGGGAUCAAUAUAUCGGUCGUGCCAUUGGUACUUACUGGUAUCACUGGUUUCUCCUUUCUGACGAACCAUGAUGUCAUUAAUUUGGUGUUAUGGGAAGUUAGGACUGUUACUUGGAAAAAAAUUAGAGUGUUUAAAGCAGGCUUUAGCUUGAAUACAUUAGCAUGGAAUAAUGAAAUAGGACGUUCGAACCUAUUUUUGUUGGUUUCUAGGAUCAACGUAAUGAUUAAUAGGGAUAGUUGGGGGCAUUAGUAUUCAAUUGUCAGAGGUGAAAUUCUUGGAUUUAUUGAAGACUAACUACUGCGAAAGCAUUUGCCAAGGAUGUUUUCAUUAAUCAAGAACGAAAGUUAGGGGAUCGAAGACGAUCAGAUACCGUCGUAGUCUUAACCAUAAAACUAUGCCGACUAGGGAUCGGAUGAUGUUAAUUUUUUCAAUGACUCAUUCGGCGC